rnacentral:misc_RNA from 1 species
AUGAUAUUAAAUUUGUCUACCUUUCAGUGCUGGCUUCAUGCAUGUGCACGUUGGAGGCAUAUAUAUAUCCAAUACCCUUUUGUGAACCUUUGGCCUUUGCUGGCUUCGGCUGGUAGAGGAUUUUACAUAAACACGAAUGUAAUGAAAUAAUCUUGUGCUAAGCACUAUAAAUGUA